rnacentral:tRNA from 1 species
GCCUUUGUGGUGUAGUGGUCAGUACGCUCGACGUGUAUUCGAGAGGUCCGUGGUUCGAGUCCCGGCAAGGGCA